GGCGAACGCUGGCGGCGUGCUUAACACAUGCAAGUCGAACGGAAAGGCCUCUUUCGGGGGGUACUCGAGUGGCGAACGGGUGAGUAACACGUGAGUAACCUGCCCUUGACUUUGGGAUAACUUCAGGAAACUGGGGCUAAUACCGGAUAGGAGCUCCUGCUGCAUGGUGGGGGUUGGAAAGUUUCGGCGGUUGGGGAUGGACUCGCGGCUUAUCAGCUUGUUGGUGGGGUAGUGGCUUACCAAGGCUUUGACGGGUAGCCGGCCUGAGAGGGUGACCGGCCACAUUGGGACUGAGAUACGGCCCAGACUCCUACGGGAGGCAGCAGUGGGGAAUAUUGCACAAUGGGUGGAAGCCUGAUGCAGUAACGCCGUGGGCGGGAUGACGGCCUUCGGGUUGUAAACCGCUUUCGCUCAUGACGAAGCUUUGUGUGACGGUAGUGGGUAAAGAAGCACCGGCUAACUACGUG
rnacentral:rRNA from 1 species